UCUUCGGUAGUACAGUGGUAGUAUUUCCGCCUGUCACGCGGACGACCGGGGUUCAAUUCCCCGCCGGAGAG